GAUAAAUUAUUGCUGUUAUGAAUUUUUUUUGAGUUUUGGGUUUUGAGUGCUACUUUUUUUUCGCUGUUGUUGGUGAAAUUUCAAGUAGAUUGGUUGUUCAGUUUUCUUGAUUGCAAAUGUUCAAGCAAUUUUUUGAGCUUGUUGGCUGUUUUAUUAGUUGAGAAAUUGAAAUCGAUACUGUUACUUCACGAAUUCUUCUGUUGGAUGAUGUAUUGCUUUGCUCAACAUUUAUAUGUGAUAGUUUUGUAACAUUUAGACAUUUUUUUCAGCAUGGGGGAACUUUUGUUCUUUCUCUGGAGAUUAAUAUUGGAUUUUUUUUUUUGAAAUGAUUUUCAUAGAUUACUUGAAUGUGACUUGUGCUGAAUGUCUGAUGAAAAUUAUCCACCAUGAUGAUUUUGUUACAUUAUGCUUUGAACAAUUUGCUUGAGUUGCCAACAUAUUUUGACUCAAAUCAGUUGUUACUUGAUUUUGUAGGGUUCACAUUUUGUCUUGAAAUCAAUUGUUGUUCUUGGUGUGAUAAAUAUUACCACCUCCACCACCGCUAUUAUUGUUUCAAAGCAUCUUUCUUUAAAUAACUGUAACCUAUUUUUCAAUAUACAUUGAUGCCAAUUAAAAUGGAAAUGAUGGCAAUAUGAAGUAAAAGGUCUGAGCAGAGUGAGUUAAUGGUGUUAGUCAUGGAUGCGGAAGUUUGGAUGUGCAAUAAAGGGAGAGGGCCCUUGUCCUUGUUUUGAGUUACUGCAUUGUGACUGUCGCAACCUCUCCUACAAAAAAAAAUUGCCAUUCUUGGUGAUGGGUUGAAAUAAAAGGCGUGGGGCUGCAUUCUAGAAUUGAAUGCUAGCCUAGAAUUCUCCCAACAUUUUG